GGCAGCAUGGUGUAGUUGGUUAUCACGUGCCCUUCACAUCUUCGGAAGACGGGCAAGGUCUUGGGUUCGAACCCCAAUGCAGUCA